rnacentral:rRNA from 1 species
UACGAAGGGUGCAAGCGUUAAUCGGAAUUACUGGGCGUAAAGGGUGCGUAGGCGGUUGUUUAAGUCUGUCGUGAAAUCCCCGGGCUCAACCUGGGAAUGGCGAUGGAUACUGGGCAGCUAGAGUGUGUCAGAGGAUGGUGGAAUUCCCGGUGUAGCGGUGAAAUGCGUAGAGAUCGGGAGGAACAUCAGUGGCGAAGGCGGCCAUCUGGGACAACACUGACGCUCAUGCACGAAAGCGUGGGGAGCAAGCAGG